rnacentral:rRNA from 1 species
CAGCCGCCACGGGAAUACGUAGGUGGCAAGCGUUGUCCGGAAUUAUUGGGCGUAAAGGGCUCGCAGGCGGUUUCUUAAGUCUGAUGUGAAAGCCCCCGGCUCAACCGGGGAGGGUCAUUGGAAACUGGGAAACUUGAGUGCAGGAGAGGAGAGUGGAAUUCCACGUGUAGCGGUGAAAUGCGUAGAGAUGUGGAGGAACACCAGUGGCGAAGGCGACUCUCUGGUCUGUAACUGACGCUGAGGAGCGAAAGCGUGGGGAGCGAACAGGAUUAGAUACCCCUGUAGUCCCUGUCUCUUAUAA